GACGAACGCUGGCGGCGCGCCUAACACAUGCAAGUCGAACGGAGCUGCGAGAAGCUUGCUUUUCUUAGCUUAGUGGCGAACGGGUGAGUAACGCGUGAGUAACCUGCCCUGGAGUGGGGGACAACAGUUGGAAACGACUGCUAAUACCGCAUAAGCCCACGAUCCGGCAUCGGAUUGAGGGAAAAGGAUUUAUUCGCUUCAGGAUGGACUCGCGUCCAAUUAGCUAGUUGGUGAGGUAACGGCCCACCAAGGCGACGAUUGGUAGCCGGACUGAGAGGUUGAACGGCCACAUUGGGACUGAGACACGGCCCAGACUCCUACGGGAGGCAGCAGUGGGGGAUAUUGCACAAUGGGGGAAACCCUGAUGCAGCGACGCCGCGUGGAGGAAGAAGGUUUUCGGAUUGUAAACUCCUGUCGUUAGGGACGAUAAUGACGGUACCUAACAAGAAAGCACCGGCUAACUACGUG
rnacentral:rRNA from 1 species